rnacentral:rRNA from 1 species
UGGGGAAUUUUGCACAAUGGGGGAAACCCUGAUGCAGCGACGCCGCGUGAUUUAGAAGGCCUUCGGGUUGUAAAAAUCUUAUGUAUGGGAAGAAAAUGACAGUACCAUACGAAUAAGGACCGGCUAAUUACGUGCCAGCAGCCGCGGUAAUACGUAAGGUCCGAGCGUUGUCCGGAAUCAUUGGGCGUAAAGGGUACGUAGGCGGAUAAGCAAGUUAGAAGUGAAAUCCUAUAGCUCAACUAUAGUAAGCUUUUAAAACUGCUCAUCUUGAGGUAUGGAAGGGAAAGUGGAAUUCCUGGUGUAGCGGUGAAAUGCGCAGAUAUUAGGAGGAAUACCGGUGGCGAAGGCGACUUUCUGGCCAUAUACUGACGCUGAGGUACGAAAGCGUGGGUAGCAAACAGG